CGACGAGUUUGAUCCUGGCUCAGAUUGAACGCUGGCGGAAUGCUUUACACAUGCAAGUCGAACGGUAGAGGGGGCAACCCCUUGAGAGUGGCGAACGGGUGAGUAAUAUAUCGGAACGUGCCCAGUCGUGGGGGAUAACGUAGCGAAAGUUACGCUAAUACCGCAUACGAUCUAAGGAUGAAAGCGGGGACUCGCAAGAGCCUCGCGCGAUUGGAGCGGCCGAUAUCAGAUUAGCUAGUUGGUGGGGUAAAGGCCUACCAAGGCGACGAUCCAUAGCUGGUCUGAGAGGAUGAUCAGCCACACUGGGGACUGAGACACGGCCCAGACUCCUACGGGGAGCAGCAGUGGGGUAAUAUUGGACAAUGGGGCGAAAGCCUGAUCCCAGCAAUGCCGCGUGAGUGAUGAA
rnacentral:rRNA from 1 species